GUGCUCACUUCAGUAGCGUAAGUACUAAAACUGGAAAGAUACAGAGAUUAGGAUGUCCCCUGAACAAGGAUGACCCACAAAUUUGUGAAGCGUUCCAUAUUUAA
ensembl:snRNA U6 U6 spliceosomal RNA